rnacentral:rRNA from 1 species
AUUGAACGCUGGCGGCAUGCUUUACACAUGCAAGUCGAACGGUAACAGGCCGCAAGGUGCUGACGAGUGGCGAACGGGUGAGUAAUGCAUCGGAACGUGCCCAGUCGUGGGGGAUAACUACUCGAAAGAGUAGCUAAUACCGCAUACAAUCUAUGGAUGAAAGCGGGGGACCGUAAGGCCUCGCGCGAUUGGAGCGGCCGAUGUCAGAUUAGGUAGUUGGUGGGGUAAAGGCUCACCAAGCCAACGAUCUGUAGCUGGUCUGAGAGGACGACCAGCCACACUGGGACUGAGACACGGCCCAGACUCCUACGGGAGGCAGCAGUGGGGAAUUUUGGACAAUGGGCGCAAGCCUGAUCCAGCAAUGCCGCGUGCAGGAAGAAGGCCUUCGGGUUGUAAACUGCUUUUGUACGGAACGAAACGGCUCUGGUUAAUACCCGGGGCUAAUGACGGUACCGGAAGAAUAAGCACCGGCUAACUAUGUG